ACAAACGCGAUGAUUGGAAGCAGUAAGGUAACUCCGGGAUAAGAGAGCUGCGGCUAUGGUGCGACGCAGUCGAAGGAGACCUGAACUCGUCCGGGAGCGGAGCGGUGGAAGCAGGGUACUUCUGAAUAGGAGUGCUGGCCGGUGCAGAAUGUAGACCGGGCCCUUUCGUACACCGUUACGGUUGACCUCCGUAAGAGGGUUGUUGAGUGGAUACCGCAGGCGCAGCAGCACAACCGCUGAUCCGGGUAUCAACAAGAGUGGUACCGCGAGGGUGAACAACCUGUCGUCUCUUGA
rnacentral:ncRNA from 1 species